GUGUUAGAACAGGGUUAUUUUCAGAAUAAAAAAUGGCGUAAACUUGGUCUCUACUUGGGCCUGAUUCACCCUGAAUUGAAGACAAUUGAGGAUAAUUACCCACGAGAUGCUGAGCGAUGUCUUGAAGAAUGUUUAGCAAAAUGGCUUACAGAAGAUAUUGAAGCAACAUGGGAGAAACUAGCUAUUGCUGCUGGUGAAGUAGGAGAGAUAUCAGUUGCUGAAUAUAUCAGAUCAAGAAGAGAGCUUUAACAAAUGCUAGUUGCAAAUUUUCAAAUAACUGAAAUGCUUUGUUGUAUUAAAUUACCUAAGUGAUUUCUAUUUUUUUAGUUUUUAACAUAAUCUGUGUUAUUACUGUUACUUGAGAACAUCAGUAUUAUAGUUGCAUUUAUAAGUACAUAAACAUAAAAA